CGGACGGGUGAGUAAUGCGUAGGAAUUUACCUCAAAGCGGGGGAUAGCCCGGAGAAAUCCGGAUUAAUACCGCAUGUGCUCUACGGAGGAAAGCGGGCCUCUACUUGUAAGCUCGCACUUUGAGAUAAGCCUACGUCGGAUUAGCUUGUUGGUGGGGUAAAAGCCUACCAAGGCGACGAUCCGUAGCUGGUUUGAGAGGAUGAUCAGCCACACUGGGACUGAGACACGGCCCAG
rnacentral:rRNA from 1 species